rnacentral:tRNA from 1 species
GCCCGGGUGGUGGAAUGGUAUACACGGCAGACUUAAAAUCUGCUGCCGAAAGGAUUGAGAGUUCGAGUCUCUCCCCGGGCA